rnacentral:rRNA from 1 species
ACCCGAUGCAAACUGCGAAUACCGGAGAAUGUUAUCACGGGAGACACACGGCGGGUGCUAACGUCCGUCGUGAAGAGGGAAACAACCCAGACCGCCAGCUAAGGUCCCAAAGUCAUGGUUAAGUGGGAAACGAUGUGGGAAGGCCCAGACAGCCAGGAUGUUGGCUUAGAAGCAGCCAUCAUUUAAAGAAAGCGUAAUAGCUCACUGGUCGAGUCGGCCUGCGCGGAAGAUGUAACGGGGCUAAACCAUGCACCGAAGCUGCGGCAGCGACACUGUGUGUUGUUGGGUAGGGGAGCGUUCUGUAAGCCUGUGAAGGUGUGUCGUGAGGCAUGCUGGAGGUAUCAGAAGUGCGAAUGCUGACAUAAGUAACGAUAAAGCGGGUGAAAAGCCCGCUCGCCGGAAGACCAAGGGUUCCUGUCCAACGUUAAUCGGGGCAGGGUGAGUCGACCCCUAAGGCGAGGCCGAAAGGCGUAGUCGAUGGGAAACGGGUUAAUAUUCCCGUACUUGGUGUUACUGCGAAGGGGGGACGGAGAAGGCUAUGUUGGCCGGGCGACGGUUGUCCCGGUUUAAGCGUGUAGGUGUGUGUUCCAGGUAAAUCCGGUUCACUUUAACACUGAGGCGUGACGACGAGGCACUACGGUGCUGAAGCAACAAAUGCCCUGCUUCCAGGAAAAGCCUCUAAGCAUCAGGUAACAUCAAAUCGUACCCCAAACCGACACAGGUGGUCAGGUAGAGAAUACCAAGGCGCUUGAGAGAACUCGGGUGAAGGAACUAGGCAAAAUGGUGCCGUAACUUCGGGAGAAGGCACGCUGACACGUAGGUGAAGUGAUUUACUCAUGGAGCUGAAGUCAGUCGAAGAUACCAGCUGGCUGCAACUGUUUAUUAAAAACACAGCACUGUGCAAACACGAAAGUGGACGUAUACGGUGUGACGCCUGCCCGGUGCCGGAAGGUUAAUUGAUGGGGUCAGCGCAAGCGAAGCUCCUGAUCGAAGCCCCGGUAAACGGCGGCCGUAACUAUAACGGUCCUAAGGUAGCGAAAUUCCUUGUCGGGUAAGUUCCGACCUGCACGAAUGGCGUAAUGAUGGCCAGGCUGUCUCCACCCGAGACUCAGUGAAAUUGAACUCGCUGUGAAGAUGCAGUGUACCCGCGGCAAGACGGAAAGACCCCGUGAACCUUUACUAUAGCUUGACACUGAACAUUGAGCCUUGAUGUGUAGGAUAGGUGGGAGGCUUUGAAGUGUGGACGCCAGUCUGCAUGGAGCCGACCUUGAAAUACCACCCUUUAAUGUUUGAUGUUCUAACGUGGACCCGUUACCCGGGUUGCGGACAGUGUCUGGUGGGUAGUUUGACUGGGGCGGUCUCCUCCUAAAGAGUAACGGAGGAGCACGAAGGUUGGCUAAUCCUGGUCGGACAUCAGGAGGUUAGUGCAAUGGCAUAAGCCAGCUUGACUGCGAGCGUGACGGCGCGAGCAGGUGCGAAAGCAGGUCAUAGUGAUCCGGUGGUUCUGAAUGGAAGGGCCAUCGCUCAACGGAUAAAAGGUACUCCGGGGAUAACAGGCUGAUACCGCCCAAGAGUUCAUAUCGACGGCGGUGUUUGGCACCUCGAUGUCGGCUCAUCACAUCCUGGGGCUGAAGUAGGUCCCAAGGGUAUGGCUGUUCGCCAUUUAAAGUGGUACGCGAGCUGGGUUUAGAACGUCGUGAGACAGUUCGGUCCCUAUCUGCCGUGGGCGCUGGAGAACUGAGGGGGGCUGCUCCUAGUACGAGAGGACCGGAGUGGACGCAUCACUGGUGUUCGGGUUGUCAUGCCAAUGGCACUGCCCGGUAGCUAAAUGCGGAAGAGAUAAGUGCUGAAAGCAUCUAAGCACGAAACUUGCCCCGAG